UUUCAGAAUCGUUUGUUUAUGUAGUCGGCACUUAAUGUAUAUCGGCUGAAUGGACGUCAGUGAUUGGUUGAAAUUACAGAAAUACGACAACUUUAACAUGGAAUAAUUUAUGGAUUUCUUUUUUUUUAAAGAAGACUAAGAGAAAAAGAUGUUUUAUAUGACCCAUUCUACCAGUGUUCCAAGUUUCAAAGUGUUUCGUUAAUGAAAAAUGUGGCCCCCGUUUUAAAAAAGAUCCGAAGCCUUUUACUAAAUAAUUCUUCAGGGUUUUCGCCUUUUUAUUCUUACUCUUGAUUAAUCUUUUUCAAGCGAGAUCGUUGCCAGUGCCCCUGGACUUGUUCAUGUCUGAACACAGUGAUCUUGGGUUCAAUUUGUAGACAGUGAGAGUUGGUGUUUGGGACUUUGCUAGUAUUUCUGUUACACUUACUUCCUUCUCAUUUCAUCCCACUCUAAUCUCUUUCUCUCUCUCUCUCAAAAGUCUUUCUCUCCCUCUUUCUUCUUUCUCCCUUCUCUCUCUCCCUCUCUGUAUGUCUCUGUCACUCUUACUCCCCCUCCCUCACUAAUCCCUCUCUCUCCCUCCUUCUCUCUAUUCUCGCUCUCCCUAAUCUCUCUCUCUCUCUCUCUCUCUACCAUUUCCAGUCCUGCCAAUUACAGCGGGUCUCUACAACGCAUGAACUUCCAUCCCCUCGGCUAUCAUCAGCAAGCAGUCAGCGCCACCUACCUCCAGUGAAGUCAAUAAAGAAAUCCUCAAAACGAUGCCUGACCUGUAGUAAGAAGACGGGGCUAGCAUCCAGUUACCAGUGCAGAUGCGGCAACAACUUCUGCUCUGCGCAUCGGUACGCUGAGACUCAUGACUGCACAUUUGACUACAAAGCUGAAGGUCGGAAAAUCAUCAGACAGAACAACCCUGUAAUAAAGGCGUCGAAAUUGCCGAAAAUUUGAGAAACACACACACACACACAUGCAUAUAUAUGUUUAAAAAAAAAAAAAAGAAAAGAAAAGGAAUUAUUUAAAAUAAAAUAAAAUCACAAGAAAAAGAAAACCCCCCACCAAAUAAAAAUACUUCAAAAAACGGCCCCUUAAAAAUAUUUCCUCCACCUCGCCACCUAAUAUGCCAAAAAAAAAAAAAAGCAAGAAGAGAACACCCCAUCCCCAAGGACUAGAGGCUAAACCCACCGGUCAGUUGAAAGUAUCGCAUAAAAUACUGUUAAUAAGAUUACUAUUACCAA